CCCGCCGCCGCCGUUGCUUGCCUGCUACUGCCGCCGCCAGCGCUGAACUGAAGCGAACUCCGGAGCGAACUGAGGAGGAGAAAGACGAAGGAAGAAGAGGAGGAGCAGCAGGCACCGCGGCGGCGGCGGCGGCGGCAGGACACAGACUCGCCAGCCACAAGCAAACGGCACUAGCGGGAAGGGAGGGAGGCAGGCGGAGCGGGAGGCGAGGCGGCGUUAUCGCCACCACCAGCAGCAGAAGCAGCACCACCGGUGGUCGGGAACAGCCUUACAAGCGGCGGAGAGGACUCCUCGCGAAACAGUAGCCAAGCCCGCCCCCCGUUUGCCUGCCCGCCUCCCUCCCUCCCUUCCCCGCCGCGGAGACAGACCAGGGGGCAGCAGCAGCAGCGGCAGCCGCGCCGAGGAGAAGGAACCGCGGCCAACGUCUGCGUGUGCGGCGGGUGAGAGGAGGCGAAGCGGGCGGCGGCGGCGGCGAGGGAAACACCGGAGACUGCGCCGGCCGCGGGCGCACGGCGCUGUGGGGAAAGGCUUCCCGUGGGAGCGGCGACUGGAAACAGGGAGAAACGGCGGCGGCGGAGGAAGACUAGGGCGCAGCCCUCCGUGGUGGUGGAGGCGGAGGGGUUGGGGGGGGGUCACCGAGUUUCCCCCUAUUUUUUUCCUCCUCUCUGUCUCGCCCGGGACCCAGCGGGGUGUGCUUUUGUGGCUUCUUCGUUGACGGCGCCCCCUUUCCCCCGCUCCCUCGUUUUCCUCCUUCUCACCCCCCCGGUUUUAGGGGGGGAAAGGCCUCCUCCCCCCCCUCGCGCUUCAAGCCCACAUAACACACACCCCGUCUCUUUCCCCGCCUGGCGGGCGCCCAGUGCGGUGGUUGGGCGAGUGCUGGUGCGGGCGCUCGCUCGCUCUCUCCCUGCGCUUGGAAUAUGGUUGGGGAAAUGGAAACCAAGGAGAAGCCCAAGCCGAGCCCCGAUUACCUGAUGCAGCUGAUGAACGACAAGAAGCUCAUGAGCAGCCUCCCCAACUUCUGCGGGAUAUUCAACCACCUCGAGAGGCUGCUGGACGAAGAAAUUAGCAGAGUACGGAAAGACAUGUAUAACGACACGUUAAAUGGAAGCACGGAGAAGAGAAGUGCAGAAUUACCUGAUGCUGUGGGACCUAUUGUACAGUUACAAGAGAAACUAUAUGUGCCUGUAAAAGAAUUUCCAGAUUUCAACUUCGUUGGAAGAAUCCUUGGGCCCAGAGGGCUAACAGCUAAACAGCUUGAGGCUGAAACAGGAUGUAAGAUAAUGGUCCGAGGCAAAGGGUCCAUGAGAGACAAAAAGAAGGAAGAACAAAACAGAGGAAAGCCCAACUGGGAACAUCUGAAUGAAGACCUGCAUGUACUAAUCACUGUGGAAGAUGCUCAAAACAGAGCAGAAAUCAAACUGAAGAGGGCUGUAGAAGAAGUAAAAAAAUUACUGGUACCUGCAGCAGAAGGAGAAGAUAGCCUUAAAAAGAUGCAGUUGAUGGAACUUGCAAUUCUCAAUGGCACCUACAGAGACGCCAAUAUCAAAUCACCAGCCCUUGCCUUUUCUCUUGCAGCAACAGCCCAGGCUCCAAGGAUUAUUACGGGGCCUGCGCCUGUUCUCCCACCAGCUGCCCUGCGUACCCCUACGCCAGGUGGCCCUACCUUAAUGCCUUUGAUCAGACAAAUACAGACCGCUGUCAUGCCAAAUGGAACUCCUCACCCAACUGCUGCAAUAGUUCCCCCAGGACCUGAAGCUGGUUUAAUUUACACACCGUAUGAGUAUCCCUACACACUGGCUCCUGCUACAUCAAUUCUUGAGUAUCCUAUUGAACCCAGUGGUGUAUUAGGUAUGGCUUUCCCAACGAAAGGCUAAGAAUUCAAGAAUGGUCUUAACUGAACCCUCGUCAGAGCUGACUUUAACAAAUGCUUAGUUUUCAGCAGCCUUGAAAAAACAUAGCCUAGCAGUCAGUGACUUACUUGCACUUUUUUGCACAUAGAAAUAAAAAUGCUAUUAAUUUGGUAUAGCCUGUACUAUGACAAACUAGCUGUGAUUUAUGAGUGUAUGGUAGUAUACUGACUGCUAUGUAUUCUGUACUAUUUGCUUUACUAAUCACCUAAUUCAUUGCAGUUCACAGUUAUUGACUUAGUUUUAAACCACAGUCUGUAGGCUUGAGGAAUUGCUUUAAAACUUUUUUAAAUGGUAAAAACUGGAAGUUGUUUUAAAAUUAGCAAAGAAUCUUCAGUAUUAAAAAUGGCAUUAUUUAAGGUAGUCCUGCUGCAAGGAAGGCACUUCAGUGAAUAUGUGACUAGUAAAGCUCAAAUGUGCUUGGGUCUAGUAGAUUUCAUGAAACUGUAAUCCUGAGUUUGUAAAUGAAUGGAUAAUGCAGGUUAAGGCCCGGAUGUUUAAAAUAAAUGCAAUAUUAAUCUGCACAGGUAUACUUCAUAUAUUAAGAUUAAAAUUUGAAACUACUGUGCCUUAACUUGUUGCUUUCUUAAAAUGAAUUUUUUUUUAGAAAGUGAUCAUUUUAAAUCCAUUUUGAUAAGCCUGCUGUUAAUGUUUUAUCAAAUGUUUUCUAACUGUCUUGGUAAUUGCAAUUUAACUAGGUGCGGUGGCUACUAAAGUUCGAAGGCACGAUAUGCGUGUCCAUCCUUACCAAAGGAUUGUGACCGCAGACAGAGAGAUUGUGCCUUUCCAGCUCUAUCUUUGUUAGAUUGCCCAAAUCCGCCACCGGCAACUAACCUAUGACCUUCUGACCUCUGAACUCUUCACCCAAUGAUGACCUGACCAUGCCUGCCUGCUGAUCAGUUAACUGGUAAUCGCCUUUGCUUGCCUGUCUUCAGUGCAGCGAGCUGAGGCACUUGUCCGUUCGUCUUACCAUCUAACAAAAAGACAAAGAAAUUGUUGUCCUCCAACUCAGCUUUUUUUCCCUGUUUGGGUGAAAGUGGUUCUAGAACCUGCACUGAAUAGUAGUAAAGCAAUAAGGUCCAAUUCAUCCCUCCGCACUGAUCAUCUUUUAGUGUCCCACCCUAAAUGAAUGGUAAGAACGGCCUCACUUGAGAGAUGGAGGCAGAUGUCCCUUAACUCCCUGAUGACAGAGGCAGUUACUGUGAGACUUCUAGGAAUCUUUUUCUUCUCAUAAAGAAGUCAAAGUUCUCUUUGAAUGUACUGUGUGAUGAUGCAUCAUGCAUGAACCUUUGGUCAGGGAUGUCAUUGGUGAAGGGAUUCCUAAAAGUAUUCAAAAUUUGACAUGCAGUGUAGUCACUACCAAUGCCCUCAAAGGGCAGAAGAUGCAGCCUUUUUUAUAUUACCUGCCAAAUUGGGUGUUUUUAAGAAGAAAAAAGUGCCAUGAAAGAUAGGUUACUGAAUUUUUGAACUACAUCAAUGCAUAAACUAAACAGCAACACUAUUGAAGCUAAUCCUGAGAUAAUUUCUUUUACUAUACAUCAACUUCCUUAAAAGAUUACAUGAGUACAAGGUACAUGCAUUAUGUGUCACAUUACUGGGCAAACUGUUCAAAUAUUUUUUUAAACCUCCCUGUAUAGAGAAAUUUCAUUAAGGAUGUAAAAGCCAUGCUUGCCUAUUUGCUGUAUACAUGUAAUGAAAUUGUAGAUAAAGUGUAGUGCAUUGAAACAAAUUGAAAAAAGUAGAUACUUUUACUAUACAAGGGUGCUGGUGCAGAAAAAAAAUAUAUUUUUGGAAAUGUAGCAUUUUAUACUUUCAAGUGUUAUAAAAAAGAAAAAAGAACAAAGAAACCCUUUAUUUCAUUAAAUGAUUUUUUCUGGUGGUUGUCGAGAAACAAAAGACCAAAAGAGCCUUUUUGUCUUUAUUUUUUAUUUUUUAAGUAUUGGAAUAAGUAUAAAGAAGAGAAAGUGCCUUAUUUUCUUCAUGGUCAUUUAGUCAGAUGUCUCGUAUAAUCCGCUCCUCCCUCAGACAGCAAGUUAAUGCAUGCCACUCUGUCGCCCAGUAUGUGAAAAGAAGCUGUGAGGAAAGACAAAUGAGUUGACCAUUUAAAUUACCUGGUUUUUGCCAUAGCAUAAUGCAACUUUGUCAGAUCUGAAACUGUGAAAUGGAAUUGUUCCACCAACAGCCAACCGCAAUAUUUUUGUAACAUGUUCCCUCUUCAAUUGUAGACAAUAUAUUUUUAUAGUACUUGCUCAGCCUUAAACCAAAGGGUUCUAAGAUGCAGUCUCAUUCUAAAUCAAAGUAUUAGAUUACACUAUUUAUACAGUAGCAAGUGUUAUCCCCCCACCCACCACCCACCCCCGGAAUAGGUUGCAUUGUCCCUAUUUGAAAUAGAUAUGGGAAAACACAGCAGAACGUGAACUUGCCUACAGGAUGGUUUUUGUCCAUGACUAAACUGAGCAUUCAGACAGUCUGUCUUUAAGCAUGUUUUAGGUUUUUGUGUGCUUCAUCUACAAUGCCAAAUAGUGUGUACUCCUCAUCAAACUCCUACUUGAUGAAUGUUAACUGCCGGUUGCGCUUUACUGAAAAGGAAAAGAAGUAUCAGUUAACUAUCUGGAAGUUCAGCUAUGCUUCAGUUUGAGUCAGUAAACAUUUACAUAGCUGGGCUAGUGGUGAUAAAACACUUUACGCACAAAGGUGAAGUAAAAAAAUAUGAGCAAGUAGUGAUACGUUAAUUGCUUUGAGCAGAUUUGGCAAAGAUCAGGUGAUAACCCCCCUCCAUUGUGUCAACUUAUUAUCCUAGAAAUCUUCACAGCUUCCAAAUCAAAGGUCAAUAGUAAGUUAGGUAAGAGGGCUUACUUUUUAAGCACCUGCAUGGUGACUUGGUCUAACCAUUGUGUCUCACCUGGAAACAAGUAUCAAUUUAUUUACUAUGCAAUAAACAUACAUCCUUUUGUAUUCAGCUAGCUUUUAUUUUAUCUUGCCACUGGCUUUGUCUUCCUGUUACACAUAGGUUUUUUGGUUUGACUUUCAGUAUAUGCUGUGCCAUUUUGAUUUUUGUUUGGUUGAAUAAACUUGCAACACUCAAAAAUUUUGGAGAGAGAAUUGCUAAAACAUAACCAGUAUUUGAUCCAGUUUCAUCUCAACUAUGAUAAACCUGGACAUUUUUAGAUGCUGAUCAAAGGUCUCUUCUUGGGAGAAGUGUGACUUAUAAAAGUAAUGUUUGUUCUGAAAAAGUUUGAAGACUUAGUUGACAACAUUUUGGAUCAACUUAAAGCAUGACAUUUGAAAUCUCUGAAUGCCUUGGUUCUCAGUAUUAUCAUUCUUUAUUGAAUUUUUCUUUAUUAAAAUAUGUAGUUUAAGACUUUUUCUGACAGUAUUAUGUAAUUUUUUUAGAGUGGGUAUACAUACAUCGCUUGUAUGUUACCAUACAGACAACAUGUAUUUGUCUAUUCCUUUUACUUUAGUUUGAUGCUAUGUAUGUACCAUAACCAACCUAUUGCCUAUGAGAAACAUGUAAGAUAAUGUAUUUACAGCCAUUGUUACAAGUUUAUAAUGUAUUUUUCUAUCUUGUUUUAUAUGUAUGUUAUAUAACAUUCAGAAGAAUUUUUUUCCUGAUUGAGAAAAGGAUACAAAAAUGCAAAACCCACAAUUUUGAUAACUGAAAAUUGCCAAUUGUUUUGCAGUACUUUAUUAUUAUAUUGGGAGUGUUGUCUUUGGGCUUUUAGUUAGCUACUGGAUUGAAUACAUUAGACAUAUCUGGGUUUUAGUUGGGUUUUUACAUAGCUUGCAUUUUAAUUCUUUGGUUCUUUGCUGUUUCUAUUAACCCAUAGCAUUAUUUUAAUAAAUGUUAUAAUACCAACCUACUAACUCUGGACUAUGUCAGUUUAUUAACCAUUACAUGUUUAAUUAAAAUAAACAAGGAAAGACGGAAGAAUGUAAAGUCUUGAGUUAUUGGACUAACCCUGAAGAACGUGACCACCGAUAACACAACGUGACUUGUUUUAUGUUGUUUGUUUGGCUGACAUUCUGCACACUACUAUUAAAUUGGCUUUGGUCAUUCUGGCAUCUUACCUUGGGGGUAGGUGCCAAUAGAGUUGGGAACAAGUAGCAUUAUUGGAGGCAUUCUUGUAGAGUCUUUCCACUUGCCUUUCAGCAUCUGCAUUACUAAUUCCACACUUUCCUUCUCUGAAAUAAUCACUGUCAGCUCACAGCAAAAGGGCAGAGAUACCAAUCUAUUGGUAAAUUAUGUUAUGUGCCCAGAGGAACCAGUUUGAUUCUUUGUUGAGCCAUUUUGAAACUACACAAAUUCAGUGUGAUUUGAAGCACUGAUUAAAACGGCAAUUCAGCACAUCUCAAUAUGUAACUUUCUACUGUUGUUCAUGCUUCUGAUUGUAUUUGAAGGAAGAAACAUUUCACCCCUUACUCUAGCAGAAUCUGCCUAUCUCCCUUGUACAUGAAUCUAAAUUACUUUUACUGUGACCCUGAAGGGGUUUAAGUUGCAAUCCUCAAACUACAUAAUUCUCAGGUAAUUAUACUGACUUCAAGCAGGUUGCUCCACAGUAAACAGCUUGAACACUGUAGCUUAACUACUUUUAGGAUUGCGGGUUUUUAAAUCUACUGUAGUGUUUGAACACCACUUAGCUCAGGGCAAUACAAAGCUGUACAAAGUCGAAUGGGUCAUUUUGUAAUAACUGCAAAAAGUAAAUAAACUCUCUAGUAGUAGCCAUUUUCAAAAAGAGGUCUAAAGUUGCCUGUUACUAAGGGAUAACACUAGCAAUCAGAGUUCAGAGAAGCAAGCUGUAGUAAGUUGCUUUCCAUCAAGCUUAAUUCUACUAGGAAACAAUUGUUAAGAACUUGGGGUUAAAUCUACAAAUUCAUCCUAUUUACACAAGGACUACAGCUUCUGCAACAGAAUUUCUCUGUCUUGUCCCAUGUACACCUCUUCUGGGAGGUUUCCCUGUCUCUCCAAAGCAUGUUGUGGGGGUGCAUGGAGAGAGGAAAGGGGGAGUUCCAUUGCACAAGCAAUGUCCUUGUGUGAAAAUGGGAUGACUUUUUUUAAUACAACCCAUGCUUUCUGUGGCCUAUUCAUAGGUGCUAUGUUAAUUACAUUUGUUUAAAAUUUACUCAUUUAAAAACAAAAAUGAUUUUGUAUAGACAAUGACACCUGGGUAAAUAAAUCAGUUUUAAAUAUACCCAUUAAAAUAUUUAUAACUGAAGCGUUAUACUUCAGUUCCACCACAUAAUAAAAACAAAAUUCAUCUAUUAGAUAGAGGCUAUGUUAGGACAGAUUGAUACAUUUUAAACAUAUUCAAGGAUUCUUUAUGAAUAAUAUAAUAAAGUAGAAAAUACUGAAAUCCAGAGGAGUUUUAACUAGGUAAUACUCAAUAUUUGUGAUAAUAUGAAAGUUUGCUCUAAGUAUAAAACAAUAAAAGGGUACUGUAUUUUGUAAUAAAGGUUGAUAAUCCACUUCAGUAUUACACCAAUAUAUCUGUCAUCAAUAUGCUUCAGUGGUCAAAAAAUGUUAGCCUUGCCCCAUGAGUUGUAUUUAACACUACAUGAAUGGAACAGACUUUGCUUGUGCGGUUGGGUGUCACCUUCAUUUUCUACCCCAUACAGCCUUCUACACACCCUAAAAUUGCUCCAGAGGGUUUGGGGAAGGUGAGAAGUCCUGCUGUGGAAGUGGAUGUCUUCCCUUGCAGCACUGGUUGCAUACCUACUUGUUUGAACCCACAACCAGCAUUGAUUAAUAUUUGUAUAAUAUAGAACAAUGAGACACAUUUUUAAAAUAAGAAUAGUAAUUAUAACCAUGGCUUGUUUUAUGGUAAGAAACCAAACCUUCCUGUGAGCUGAAAGAAAGGAUUUCAUUUGUAUGUGAAGGCAAAAGGCAUAUGUCAGGGGUGGCCAACUCCCAAGAGACACUGAUCUACUCUCAGAGUUAAAAACUGGCAGUGAUCUACCCCCUUUUUUAGGGGUUCAGGUCAAAGUUGUUGAGAUUUUUUUAGGAAGGCCCAUUUCUAAGGGGUUCAGGUCAAAGUUGUUGAGCUUUUUUGAGGCAGGGGAAAAACCUUUGGGGGAUGAAGAGCUAAAAUUUUGAGUUUUGGGGGGCUGAGCCAAAGUUGUUGAGCUUCUUUGGGGGGAGCCAGUUAUCUACCAUUGCUCUACCACAGACGUCCAGUGAUCAACCUGUUGGAUGUGCUUGGCAUAUGUCAUUCCAUACCUGUCGAGCCCUCCUGAGUGUGGAGGGGCUUUUGAAAGAGCAGCCAUUCAAAUGAGUUGGGAAGCACCCAUGCACAAGCAUAGCACCUCAUAAAUAAGGAUCAUAGCUAUAUAGUUCCUUGAGAUGGCACCUUAUGUAUUUAAUUUGAAAUUGGAGUUAGACGUUAUUUCUAAAGACUUGAAUCACAUUUUAAACACUGCUGGUUACUUAGUAAUAAAAAUCUAAAUGGGGGUGGGGGUACCCAGUGUUAGUCAUAUCGGAACAGGCUCACUGAAAUCAAAGGGUGAAUCUGCUUGUUGCUGUUAUACUCUUGAGUAUAGUUCUGAUUAAAUUUAUUAUUUGCCCUUUACCAGCAGGUCCCUGUAAUUUUUCCUCUGAAGUGGGGAAAGUUUGUGGCUAUUUUCCUGGAAUAAACAAGCUCAUCUAAAUACAAGACAAUAUGUAACUGGAAGGGAGGAACUGGUCAAGACACCAAAUUCAUAGCCUGCACACAAGUCCCAUUAACCAUGAUGAAGCUGGUAUCUGAGUAAACAUGUUUAGGAUUGUUCUAUGAUAUCCUGUAGAAGUUAAGAAAAGUCCUUAGACCAUAAUUUUGUCAAUUCAAGUAGAAUUUAUGUGCACCUAACCUAUUUUGAUUAAAUAGUAGUUCUCCAGUACCAGAUCUUAAAGUGAACACUUAAAAGAUGGCCAGUCUUUUCUUAAAAUAACCAUUACUGUAGACCACCAUUACCAAUUAACAACUUUUAGUGUAGGUAGGGACCACUGAAGUAAUUUCAUUAGGAAAUGUCAGUGGAAGUGGACAUCCAUCCAAUAAUCACGUAAUAGGCAAAAACUGUGUACAAUAAAUAUAUGUUAACACAAGUUUCUGAAGUAGUGUAUUUCAUAAAGAUAGGUCCACAGUCUUAAAACAUUCCCAGGGUGCAAAUUGUGAAUUGUACUUGGAAUUCCUAUCUUUAUUUUUGAUGUAGCAUUAAUAUAUGAAGUGAACACAAUCGCCAAUGAAAUACUUUGUGCUAAUCAAUGUUGAAUCAAACUGUUUAACUAAAGAACAGUGCUCCUGAUUCUUUUUAUGCUGCCAGAUCACUAACUGCAGGUGUAAAAAUCCUGCCUUAGAAGUGGGUAUUUGAGAAGCAGCAGGUGGCUUACUUGCAGUAUUCACUUCUUGAUACCAGUUGUGUUAGUGGUUUACUACUAAUUGCAUCAGGAGAAAUUACUCCCAGGACAAAGGUUUGCUUCUGAAGGACUAAUGAUUAAGGAGAAUUUUUAAAAUAUAUAUAAAUAACCUAUUGAGUUCUGUUGUGAGAAUGCUUGAAUCAUUUAAGUUUUUGUUUGUGCAACACAGUGUAUUAGGAAAAAAAUGGGUGUUGCCCAAACACUUAUAAAUAAUAAGAAACACGCCUGUAAAUGAUGUGCAAUAAAAACUGGAAAAAUUAUAUGUGCUUUAUCCUCAAAAGCCAAUUGACAGCUUGCAGGGCUGUCAUUAUUUUAUAUUUUGAAAAGUCAAAUUUUAUUCUGUAUCGAUGGAUGGCAGAAUAAAGAAUGUACAUUUUGCACUCUUUAACUGUCAUUAAUGUUUCUAACACCUUAAGAGAUUCCAGAGUUCUGCAUCUAGUUCCCUAAUUCAUUCUCAUUGUAAAAUACAUGUGAGAUGGCCUGUAUCAGUCAAAGGAGAUCAGAAUUUUGUGUAUGUGUGUGAUGAAUUUAGAAAUAUUCCUUAAAUAACCAGACAAGGAUGAGUAAAGUCCAAUGAGAAGUAGAAUCCUUGUGUUUCAUGUAGUUAUUGAACAAGAUAAAUAAAUGUUGAACUUUUCUUACAGGUAAUUAAACUUUUGUGGCCAGGCGCUACAUCCUAGGAAGAGCAAAACUGCACAUUUCCCUUGCUUUAUGGCAUGUCAUUCCAGGAAUACUUAACCUUUUGCUUUAAUGAAGGUCACUGCCCUCAUUCUACUCUGUCUCUGAAGGUUUAAGGAAAUGGCAGCUUUUGUUUUUGAAAUGGUAGAUUCUCCAGAUGCCUUGGUGUUGCAGCUAUUGGUGGGGGUAUUCUGGAAACCUGGUCCAUAUUUUCAGCCUCAAGAGGUGGGCACUCAACUGUGUUUUUGGCACUUUGCCUCAUGUAGGUUUGCUGAGGCACAGGAUGGUUGUAGCAUUAAGCAAGAGUCAACCCACAAUUACCUCCUAUUUCUUUGCAUCCCUUCCCAAUAUUCACCUGUUUCCUGCCUGAGAAAUCAUACAGACCACUAAGGGAACCAGCUUACCUCAGUCACACAAUUUCAGUGUUCUCAAAAAUUUUAUUUGCUGUAUUAUUAGUCAUUUCAUUUCUGCAUCACUUUUAAUGAAAAAAAUCUGGAAGUUGUUUACAACACAUUAAAACAGGCAUAGCCAAACUUGGCCCUCCAGAUGUUUUGGGACGACAACUCCCAUCAUGCCUGACCACUGGUCCUGUUAGCUAGGGAUGAUGGGAGUUGUAGUCCCAAAACAUCUGGAGGGCCGAGUUUGCCUAUGCCUGCAAAACAUCAAAUAAAACAAUCCAUAAUAAAACAUUACUGAAGAAAGUAA